AGAAGGCUUUCACGACGGAAACGUUUUGGGAGCUUUUUUCUUUUGC
rnacentral:antisense_RNA from 1 species